AACGUAGGAGGCAAGCGUUAUCCGGAAUUACUGGGCGUAAAGGGCGUCUAGGCGGCGUGGCAAGCGGGAUGUGAAGCUCCUGGCUCAACUGGGAGAGUGCGUUCCGAACUGCCGAGCUAGAGGCCAGGCGAUGGGGGUGGAAUUCCCGGUGGAGUGGUGAAAUGCGUAGAGAUCGGGAGGAACACCAGUGGCGCAAGCGGCCCCCAAGCCUGAGCCUGACGCUGAAGCGCGACAGCGUGGGGAGCAAACGGG
rnacentral:rRNA from 1 species